GGCGCUGCCAUCUUACCCUGGGGCGGAAGUGACAUCAAGGGGGCGUGAUCUGACCAUAGUAUUUAUCCGACGGUGCCUCGCCGCCCUCCGCCUUCUCUUCCCGGUUCUUCCCGGAGUCGGGAAAAGCUGGGUUGAGAGGGCGAAAAAGGAUGUGGGGGAUGGACUGUGAGCUGUGCCGGGGUGUGACUCGUGGGGGCGUGUCUCGGCCCCUGGCAGGGAGUAGAGGCUAUAGCAUCUGCUUGUUUCUGUGUCCACUUCCUACUGGGACAUCAGCCCCAUGAGAAGAGUAUCUUGGUUGUGGGAUAGAUGUUCAUCAUCUAUUCGAUCCUACCUGAAACAGUGUCUGCUACAUAAUGAGUUCCCAACAGACCUUUUAAACUGGAAUGGAUGGAUUCCAGUUGGUGCUGAGACCAAGGAACAAGUCUGUUGGUGAGACUUCAUGGACUUGCCUAGGAGAACUUUGCCGGACGCCAUCUCUAAGCACCGAUGGGCUUGGAUUCAACAUCUCCACAGAUACCAACCCAGAGGAUAUUCAAGUACUUUAUACAAC